GUAGCUAGCUGGCAUGGGAGAUGCUGUGAGCACGAAGCUGGCUUUUCCCAGGGCGUGUGGCUUAUCCAUGGCAGUUUGGUUGUGCUGACCCCUGUGAGUUCCCCAAAUGUGGGCGACUCGGCUGCAUACUUUGUGGUAGUGGGGGACUGCGUGGGCACUUUGCCCUG
ensembl:snRNA U1 U1 spliceosomal RNA